ACGCGCCGCAUAGGGAGGCUCUCACAUUAGGGUCAAUUAAGACCGCGACGUGACGAGGCGAGGCGAGGCGCGGC